rnacentral:rRNA from 1 species
UACGGAGGGGACUAGCGUUGUUCGGAUUCAUUGGGCGUAAAGGGUGCGUAGGUGGUGCUGUAAGUCAGGUGUGAAAUCUCGGGGCUCAACCCCGAAACUGCACUUGAUACUGCAGUGCUCGAGGACUGGAGAGGAGAUUGGAAUUCAUGGUGUAGCAGUGAAAUGCGUAGAUAUCAUGAGGAAGACCAGUGGCGAAGGCGGAUCUCUGGACAGUUCCUGACACUGAGGCACGAAGGCCAGGGGAGCAAACGGG